UAAUCCGUUUGUCAAGACUGAGGGGGCAGAGGCAGGGCACAAGUUACCAAAGCCUUUCCCCACCCCCUUCUUCCCCCCACUCAGAGCCAGAUUAAGGAUGGGGCCCCGGGGGACUCGGGGAGAGAGAGAGCAAUGCAGGAGAGUGAAAUCUGCAAGAGAGCUGUGGAGUGUGCUACAGCCUGUCUGUCUGCAAAAAGCCACCCAUCAUGGUCUAGGACGACCAGCAGGAACCUGACCAACAGCCUACCAUAACACUACUCCUGCAGCCUGUUGAUCCUACCCAGCCAACCCAGCAGCAGGAUAUGCCACAAGCAUCCGUAAGCCCCCAAUUGAUUCCAACUCCACCCCAGCAACAAAUGUCCCCUGACUUUUGGAACAGUUGGGCCACACAACAGGUCCAAAACACUGCCUACCUGAACACACACACACACAACACCUUGCCAGUCUGCCCCAUCAUCUUCCUCGCAUUAGUCGGAACUCGGGCAGACUGAUUGUUCAGGUAGGCAGAAUAGCCACUUCAAUGGAGCAAAUCAGGGCAGACAACACUCAAAUGCUUGCCAAUUUAACUCGAAUAAUCGAUGAGCAACAGCGGCAGCAACAAGCCCUAAUACAAGUAAUCCAGCACAACCAAGUAGUGAAUGAAACUUUGUCUAGAAUAAUUGCCAGCCACACUGCCACAAAUAAUCAACUUAAUGCCAGUAUUCACAACCUCAACCAAAGCAUUACAGUGAUGGCAGCCCAACAAGUCAGCUCCAGCUCCGGAACGACUACCCCAAGCCAGACCCCAGUUACCUCCCCUGUUCGACGCUCAAGCAGAACACGGGCCAGCGACCCAGGUCAAACCUCUGCACCCAGCACACACAAAAAAAAAUGAGGAAUGCUUGAAAUUUGUGUAACACAAUAAAAUUUUUGACUAUUGUAUUCCAAAAAA